rnacentral:tRNA from 1 species
GGAGAGAUAGAGAUAUUGGGGCGAUCUAGAAAACCGUUAGGGGGCAAUCACCACAGGGGUUCGAAUCCCCUCCUCUCCG